CAUGAGUGGCGGACGGGUGAGUAACGCGUGGGCAACCUGGCCUGUACAGGGGGAUAACACUUAGAAAUAGGUGCUAAUACCGCAUAACGGGGGAAGCCGCAUGGCUUUUCCCUGAAAACUCCGGUGGUACAGGAUGGGCCCGCGUCUGAUUAGCCAGUUGGCAGGGUAACGGCCUACCAAAGCGACGAUCAGUAGCCGGCCUGAGAGGGCGGACCGGCCACACUGGGACUGAGACACGGCCCAGACUCCUACGGAAGGCAGCAG
rnacentral:rRNA from 1 species